rnacentral:lncRNA from 1 species
CAUCUUCUCCAUCGAGUAAGCGAUGUAGCGGUUCUCCCCUUUAAGCUUCCAUCUCUGCUCACAUGGAUCCCCCUUACCUAACCCAGAGCGGCUGAUAGGACUAAGGUGAGCCCCCCCUCCCGGCGCAGCGGCCGCCUCUGCCGGUUCCAUCGACUGCCUCCCCUCCUUCUCCGCCCCACAGUAGUCCUUUGGCCUCUGCCGGGCCCUGCUUCUUCUGUCGCUCCCCGCAGAUGGAAGAUAUGGAGAGGAAGUUGCAGCAUGCGGUGGUGGAUUUGUGGUUGUCUUACUCCCUCAACAUCACUUGCACCAAAGGUAGGUUCUCUCCCUCCUCAAUCUUCUCAGCUCUAAGCUUAUGCCCUUUGAAUUCGUCAGAUUGCCCCUCCGGAACAGAAGGUGCUCGAUGUUUUGCUUCAUACAUAUCUUGGUGCUUGAUUCCCAGCCAACAGCGCCAAGAGCAACGAUGUUUUACUCCUCGUGGAAUCUUCACCAACCACUCCAAGUCUACUUUGUUUCCGGAUAUUCUCAAUAUAAGUAAGUACACUACAUCUUAAGCAUGCACGUCUACAACAUCAUACCUACAUACGAUUAGUUGAUUUAUGCAUAUGCAUUAUACCAUUUUCAGACUUUAUUGUUGUUUGUUUUUUAGAUCCGGCUGUUUUCUUUGAUCUGAAUUUAGAUCGACUUCCAAAAUUGUAGCUUUGAUUUCAAUUGGCAAACCUAGAGAAGGUAAGGUGUUAUAAUCUCUCAUAAAUCAUGAUUAUGUACAGUACUUCUUACUCAACUUAAUGAAUCAUUUUGUUCGUUUUCUUUUGCAGAAAUUGGGGUAUGUUGUUCAAGUAAGUUCAGUUGACUGCUCGGAUUGUCAACCACUGCUUUUUCUUCAGUUAUUCGAUAGUCACUAUUUUAAUUUCCUAACUAUACACAUGUCCCCCUGUAUGUCUAUUUAUAGUCCUCUCUUAAUAGUUCAAGUAGCACUGUCGCUUCCUUUUAGACCUUUAACUUAUAUAGAAACUACAAGCAAAUUUUGCUGGCUGUGUAGUACAUCUUGGAAUUAAUGUAUAUUCUCUUUUAGUUAGCCCAUGAAAUGCUAUGAAGUUAUUCUUUUACCCUUCCUUGAGAAUAUGGAAAUUCAUGUUUGGUGAUUGAGUUGGGCAAGUUAUGCGCAGUUCACCUACAAUUUAUGUGAAUGCAUAUGGCAUCUUAC